AGCGAACGCUGGCGGCAGGCUUAACACAUGCAAGUCGAGCGCCCCGCAAGGGGAGCGGCAGACGGGAGAGUAACACGUGGGAACGUACCCUUUAGUUCGGAACAACCCAGGGAAACUUGGGCUAAUACCGGAUACGUCCGAAAGGAGAAAGAUUUAUCGCUAAAGGAUCGGCCCGCGUCUGAUUAGCUAGUUGGUGAGGUAAUGGCUCACCAAGGCGACGAUCAGUAGCUGGUCUGAGAGGAUGAUCAGCCUCACUGGGACUGAGACACGGCCCAGACUCCUAGGGGAGGCAGCAGUGGGGAAUAUUGGACAAUGGGCGCAAGCCUGAUCCAGCCAGGCCGCGUGGGUGAUGAAGGCCCUAGGGUUGUAAGGCCCUUUCGGCGGGGAAGAUAAUGACGGUACCCGCAGAAGAAGCCCCGGCUAACUUCGUGCCAGCAGCCGCCGUAAAAC
rnacentral:rRNA from 1 species